GCCGGGCGUGAUGGCACGUGCCUGUAAUCCCGCUACUCGGAGGCUGAGGCAGGGGAAUCGCUUGAACCCAGGAAGCGGAGGUUGCAGUGAGCCGAGAUCGUGCCACUGCACUCCAGCCUGGGUGACAAAGUGAGACUCUGUCUCCU
rnacentral:SRP_RNA from 1 species